GUUUAUGUGAAGCAGCUGACCUAAACAGAAAUGGGAGAAGAAAGUUGGCUGAGCUCUGCAGGGAGCUCUCUGCACCUGGAGCCCUCCCCUGGGCUGGGCAGACCCCCUCCCCAUGUCGCCACCGUGUGGCCUGACCUGGUGUCACCUGACCAGGGAUCACGCGAUCUGCUUUCCAGCACUGCCCAUCAGAGGUCAGCUGCUGCCUCCCUGGGACCUGGGGAGGGAAGGGGCCCAGAGACUGGCCAGGACGGCCCUGCCCUUGUCCUGUGCUGGGGCCUUGCUGGGACCUGGGGGCGCUGAGGUCCUGUAGGAGUGGAGGCUGGGGAUGCAGCGACCCUGCCCCUGGUGGCUCCAAGACCCCCUCCUUCCAGCCCCUUUGCCUGGGGGUCACAGGCAGCCCGGCCGGGAGCCCUCCCCAGGGCGCCCUCCCCAGGGCGCCUCCUGGCAGGCGCUCCUGUGCCUGAGCCCGGGAUCCCAUGCCCUGGAUGGGCCGCGCGCGCACAGGCUCAGGGUCCGCGGAGGAGGCCGAGGGUGGGCGGGCUGCAGACCAGGGCUCUCCAGGCCCCUCGGCAGAGCAGUCGUGGGGUGGGCGUUUUCUGCAGCGUCGAAGGGGCUGGGUGCGGAUUCCUUCGGCCGCCGGCGGCGGAGGGGCCGCGGUCUGCGGGGUUCUCUGUGCCUCCAUCGACCGGUCCCGGGCUGGUUCACCCCCGGUGUCAUCCCCCGAUCGGCCACCAGGUGGCAGGAGCGCUCUUCACGACCCAGCCUCAACUAAGACGGAUGUCUGAGCAUCCAGACACGUUUGGCGGCUGGUCACUCUUCAGUGAUGAAAGCGCACGGGGGAGGCCGGGCUGGCCAUGACAGUGCCCCUGGUGAGGGCCAAGCCUCCCUGCUCUCCGUAUGUCCCACCUGAGGACCACAAAGCUUCCUGUGUCGCUGCAAUUAGGAAAAGUAAAUAGCCUCAGGAAACAGAUCAGACUCUCAGCACCUUGUGAGCAAACUGUGUCCGUGUGGCUCUCCCGAAACCACGCUGCGCGGGAGACGGGCACCCAGAGGUGCCAGCGGGGACGUGGAAGGAAGGUACAUGGAGGCGUGGGGCGUGGGGGCGCGGGCCAGGGUCCCAAGCUGCCUGCCCAGCGGGAGGCUCUGCUGACAGGCCCCUCUGCCCACCGUGAGAAUGGGACUGAGGUCCCUCCCUGUGAGAGGAGCACGGGCCCCCAGGCCCUACCUGGGCUCAGCCAGGAUGGCGAGGGCUGGAGACGUGUCACGUGCUCAGAUGGACAGGUAACGUGGCUUGAUGUUUGCCGGUCCUUUCUCCACCCCCUGACUUACUGCCCGCGGAAUCGGCAUAAACGCUCUCAAUUUCAUCUCAGAGCUGAUUCCUUAUCCGAGAAGGAUGGGUCUCAGCUGCCUGCUCCGCAGUCCAUCAGCAGAGACACCCUCAGUCAAUCAAAAUAUCCAUCUGCAGAGGCCUUGCGCCCUCAGGGCACCGGCUCGUGUGCUGGUGGAGGGUGGGGCUGGUGGGGGCGCUGGGGGUCUCGCUGGGACCGGCUGGCUGGGUGCCUGGGAGCUCUGGACCCUGCUACUCAGAGGUUGAGAUUGGCCGAGGGGCAGUCAUGGCGUUUAAUUCACUUAUUUCAGAGAAAAAGUGGUUUUGAAAAACAGUGAUACUUUAUUUUGUAAGUAGGUUUUUCCAUGAGAGCAACGCAUGCUUAUCUGAGAAAGCGUGAGACAGAGGAGUGGAGAGGAGAGUGGCAGCCUGGUGCCCUGGGGACUUCUACAUCUGUCCCAAGGCCAGUUCUUGACUCUGCGUGCAGACACGACGCUUCAACCUCCUCCACGGUCCUCACGGUGCAGCCUGGGCCCCGGUCAGGGUCUGGCUCCAGGUUGACUGGGUUCCAUGCUGUGGGCUCUCCCUGGCCCCGUGCCUGUGGUUUCCUCAGCCAUGGAGGGGGAAAGGUUGGGGUGGUGGGAGGUGACUGAUGACUCUGUGGGUCAUGGGCUCUGUCCUUGAAGACACAAUGUCUGGACCUCCCCUCCCACAGCCCUGCUCUUUACUUGCCCUCUCCAGGAUCUCAAAUGUGGCCCAGGUCCCAGAACACCUGGUUGUGCAAUCCAGAUGCCACCCUCUCCCCCUCCAACCUGACCAGGUACUCCUCCACCCCCAUGCCAUCCUGCCUCCAUCCCUGCCCCAUCCUCCCUCCAUCCCCACUCUGGUCCUGGAACCCCUGGGAACGUUGUGCUUUCUCAGGACACCCUGGAAGGUGGCUCACAGCCUGCCUGGUUUUGGGGGAGCUGCUCCUGUCUCUGUUUCUGUUGAACUUCCCCUCUGGGGGUUCCCUGGGGCUGACCUCAUGCCGUCUAGCCAUGCUUCUGUCCCAUGAACCCCUCAGCUGCACCUUUUCUCUCCUGUGUCACUGCCUGGCGUGAGGGGCUGCUCCUCCGUGGGAAACACCAGCAGUCAGAGCCAGGUCUGCCCUCCUCCCGAAGGCUCUGAGCACCGGCUCCCUGGGCCUUCUCUUGGCUCCAGGUUCACUUCCAGCUCCAGGACACCAGCACGUGGGGCAGGAGAGGUGGCCUCUGUGCGUGGUGCCAGCUGCACGGUGCUGUGCCGGCUUACUCCCACAAGCCUGCUGGCCUGUGCUGGGGGUGGGUCACGGAUGUGCCCAGUGCUGAGGGAUGCGGGCCAGCCUGGGGGAGCCCUGACCCUGAGGAUGCAGUGCAUCGGCCGGGGCUGCAGGGAUCCACGCGCCUGGGGUCCGGGAUUUGCCUACCUUCUGGUAGAUUGGUGAAGAACCGAAUGUGUGAGCGAGGGAGGAAUGAGGCGACGGCUGCACUGUGAACACACAGCAAGCUGGAGCGAUCGUCCGUCUUCGCGCGGCGGGCACAGCCUCCACUCACAUCGUUGGCUGGCGUUUCCUGGAGACGGAGGGAAGACUGGCUGAAGGAGUUAUGGAACCUCCAGACAGGUGUCGCAUGCAGAAGGAGCGGGCGGCGCCGUUGGCCUCCUUCCUCGGGCUGAGGUGCUGCGUGGACCUGGGACACCGCCUUUGGGUCCUGGACCAGUUGGGAGGGUGGGUGUGGGGCUGGCAGCAGGGCCGCCCCGGCCUCUGGGGUGUACCUGGGCACCCAGGUGUGGUGCCCCGUCUCCCGCCUCCUGGGCAGUCUGUUCUGGCUUUCCUGGAGAAACACAAGGCAAAGGGCAGAACUGACCUCUGACCUCUGACCUCAGAGUCCAAGGCACCUCAGUGGUCUCUCGUCCAGCUUCGCACUCCAUGCAGGGACCCCGGACCCUCCGAAGCCUGCCUGAGGGUAGAGCUCCCUGCCCCAGGACAGUGCUUCCUGAGGGGCCUGAGCUGCUGCUGGAACCUGCCUUCCGGGCCUGGCUGAACCCCAAGUCCCACAGGGCGAUGGGGUCUGGUCCUCUCCCGAGGGGGCCACGCGGUUCAGACCCCAGAGCAGCCUCCCCCUCUGCCUUUGCCCUUCCCUGCCCUUGGUCGUGUUUAUAAGAAAUAAAAGACGUAAGUGAAUAUAUUUACA
rnacentral:lncRNA from 1 species